GUCAUGGCUCUAUGUAGUACUGUGGAAUAGAGUUCCAUGUAGUCAUGGCUCUAUGUAGUACUGUGGAAUAGAGUUCCAUGUAGUCAUGUCUCUAUGUAGUACUGUGGAAUAGAGUUCCAUGUAGUCAUGGCUCUAUGUAGUACUGUGGAAUAGAGUUCCAUGUAGUCAUGGCUCUAUGUCGUACUGUGGAAUUGAUUUCCAUGUAGUCAUGGCUCUAUGUAGUACUGUGGAAUAGAGUUCGAUGUAGUCAUGGCUCUAUGUCGUACUGUGGAAUUGAGUUCCAUGUAGUCAUGGCUCUAUGUAGUACUGUGGAAUAGAGUUCCAUGUAGUCAUGGCUCUAUGUAGUACUGUGGAAUAGAGUUCCAUGUAGUCAUGGCUCUAUGUAGGACUGUGCACCUCCCAUAGUCUGUUCUGGACUUGGGGGAUUGUGACCUCUGGUGGCAUGUCUUGUGGGGUAUGUAUGGGUGUCUGAGCUGUGUGCCAGUAGUUUAGACAGACAGCUCGGUACAUUCAGCUUGUCAACACUUCUUACAAAAACAAGUAGUGAUGAAGUGUGAUGAUAUUAAUUAACAAAAAUUUCGAUCUGAAUGCAAAUAGUCAGGAAUGAUUCGCAAGGAAGGUGGAUCCUUUUGAAGAUAAAAAGUGGAUGAAAAAGAGAUUUGGCUCAUUAAUCUAUAUGGUCCAAAUCAGGAUGAUCCACAAUUCUUCAAACAUUUAUUUAUUCAUUAUGAUAGGAGACUUUAACACAGUGUUAAGAAACCUCAAUGGACCGUAAAGGUAAUCGCUCUACAAACUAUCAUCACCGUGCCCUUCAGGAAAUCACAAAUAUUAUGGACACAUUAGAAAUAGUGGAUAUUUGGAGACUAAAAAAACCCCGACCUAGUGAGAUAUACAUGGAGGAGACUUAAUCAAGCUAGUCGUCUUGACUACUUUCUUGUCUCUUUCUCUCUUGCAUCAAAGGUUAUAAAAGUUUGAAUAGGAGACAGAAUGCGAUCCUAUCAUCAUCUAAUUGGCAUUCACAUAACUCUUAUACAUUAUCCAUGUGGACGGGGAUAUUGGAAAUUUAAUCAAAGUUUACUGGAGGACAACUCAUUUUUAACUAAGACAAAAUAAUUUAUAACGGAAUUUUUCCAGUAUAAUAUAGGAUCAGCAAAUCCCCUUAUUGUUUGGGAUACCUUUAAAUGUUCCUUCAGAGGUCAUUCAAUUCAAUAUUCAUCAAUCAUAAAAAAAACAGUUUCUGGCUAAAGAGACAAGACUGACAAGGGAAAUCUAUGACCUAAUAGUACAGGUAGAUAGCAAUAAAAACGAUACUACAGAGAUACAAGAUAAGUUAGAGGAAAAACAAAAAAAGAACUUGAGGAACUUAUUCAAGAACGUAAUGUAAUGUAAUCUAUUAUAAUAAUAAAAAAUAAAGCCAACUGGAUGGAAUAUGGAGAAAAAUGCACAAAAGUCUUCCUGAAUCUCCGAUACAGGAACACUAACAAAAGGAAUGAGCAGAAACUCUUUACUGAGUCAUCUAUGAUUCUCCGAAUUAUAUUUUAAAAGAGGAAGCUAAUUAUUUUAGGCAGAUGUUCUCUUUUCCGUCUCAUCCUUUCCCACUGAAUGAAGAUUACGGUAAGGAAUUCUUUCCAAAUAAUAUAAAAAAUGGAAAAUUAACAAAUUUACAGAAAGAUCAGUGAGAUCUGUGCCAAAUGACAGAGGAAGCACUGUUUGAGGCUAUUAAAUCCUUUCAGUCUGGAGAAACCCCAGGGCUUGAUGGGAUACCGCUAGAGGUAUAUCAAGUAUUUUUUUCACACACUUAAACUCCAUUGUUAGCUUGUUUUAACUACUCCUAUAGAAAUGGUAGUCUGUCAGGUACUCAGCAGGAAGGUCUGAUUUCUCUAUUAUUAAAACAAGACCCAGAUGGCGAAUAUAAAAACCCAGUCUAUCUAAAAAAAAAAACUGGAGGCCCCUUACACUUCAAUGUUGUGAUGCAAAAAUACUAGUGAAAUGCAUAGCGCUGCUAUAUGAGGGAAAAAAUACUUUAUCUGGGAUGCUAAACCAGACAAGAUAAAACAUGUCUAUCUAUAUAGUGAAUGUGAAUUGUGUGGGUUGAGAUUAUUAUAUAUAAAAACACUAAACCUCUCUCUGAAAGCUUCACUCAUUCAAAAGUUUUAUUUGAACCCCAAAGUAGAUUAUUAAGAAAAGCUCAUCCAUUGUUUAAAAAUUGCCUCUUUUUUUUGCCUUUGUGCAGAUUGCCAUGUCUCAUUUUCAAUUAAUUAAAAAUAAUACUUUUUUUUUCUCCAAAGUAUCUCUCUUCUUCAAACAAGCAUUGCAGAGCUGGCUAUAAUUUCAAUUUCAUCCCCCUGGAAAGAAACAAAAAAGAAAAGAUAUAAAGAUAUAACAAAUAUUAAGGCUGAACUUCUUCCUCCUUCCUGAACUCCUUAAACGCGUAAAGUAAAACCGAAUACUAAAUAACUAAUAACUAUAUACUAGUAAAACCGAAUACUAAAUAACUAAUAACUAUAUACUAGUAAAACCGAAUA
ensembl:lncRNA